UGCCUCGUAAGGAGAGGAGGUUAAAACAAAAACGAAAGGAGCUGCGUGAGGCUGCGAAAGGCAGUGGAUCACUCACCAGUUGGAUGACAAAGAGCACAAAAGUUCAAGCAGUCAGCCUUGGCUGCAGCCUCUCUCAGCAAGUAGUCUCCUCCAAACUAUCAGCAGUAUGGCAGUGUCUACACUAUGAGAUCAAUACAGCCCACCUCCAGCAAUAUCAGCAGCAGCAGCCUCCUCACCAAC